rnacentral:rRNA from 1 species
UACGGGGGGAGCAAGCGUUGUUCGGAUUUACUGGGCGUAAAGGGCGCGUAGGCGGUAGCACAAGUCAGUUGUGAAAUCUCCGGGCUUAACUCGGAAAGGUCAACUGAUACUGUGCGACUAGAGUGCAGAAGGGGCAACUGGAAUUCUCGGUGUAGCGGUGAAAUGCGUAGAUAUCGAGAGGAACACCUGCGGCGAAGGCGGGUCUCUGGGCAGUAACUGACGCUGAGGAGCGAAAGCGUGGGGAGCGAACAGG